rnacentral:snoRNA from 1 species
AAAAGAAAUGGAGGGAAUAUUAUGAAGCUAAGGUGCAAAUUUCUUUUAAUUAGAAUUAAUUAAAAGAUUAAUAUCUGAGCUUACAUUUUU